CCUUAAAUAAAACAUAUAUUAAAAAAAAAAAAAAAAGACUCAAAGUAUCAAGGAGAAUCAUGGAUCAACAUUUUAAAAAGUAUUGAUAAGGUCUGUCUGUCCCCCAUCUCUGCUGUCUGUGUUUCUGGGUUUAUCAGUGUCAUCACACUCACCUGUGUCCGGUGAUUGGACUGUUUUGGAUUGGUUCGUUAGUCUCACUCUUGUCACCUGGUGACAGUGCGGUGUAUAUACACCUUUCUUGUUUAAUGUGCAACAGGCCUGGUCAGUGGUGCUUCAGCUUGUGCGUUGUUACUGUGCUCCUUGUUCCUGUUGGAGACCACCGUGUUGUUUGUUCUUCCCUGGUCCUGUUACCCAGAACAGGAGUCUGCUGAUCUGCUGCUAAAUUGAGUGGGCCUUCUGGGAGGACAGGAGGUGGCUGUUUAUCUCCAGUCCCUAAAAUCUGUGGACUGUCUUCAACUCUUUUGUAUCAGCAGGACCUGCCCGUAGAGGUUAAAACGAGUGAUGGACUACAGAUGUCGGCAUUUAAACCUGGGGCACAGAGAAUGCAGAAAAUGAGCCUGGUGUCCACACGUUCACACACUGCCCCCAGUGGCUGCCGGGAAAACCUGAGGCAAAUCUUCUGAUGCUGUUAUU